rnacentral:rRNA from 1 species
UACGUAGGGGGCGAGCGUUGUCCGGAUUUAUUGGGCGUAAAGAGCUCGUAGGCGGUUUGUCGCGUCUGCUGUGAAAACUCAGGGCUUAACCCUGAGCCUGCAGUGGGUACGGGCAGACUAGAGUGUGGUAGGGGAGAUCGGAAUUCCUGGUGUAGCGGUGGAAUGCGCAGAUAUCAGGAGGAACACCGGUGGCGAAGGCGGAUCUCUGGGCCAUAACUGACGCUGGAGGAGCGAAAGCAUGGGGAGCGAACAGG